rnacentral:lncRNA from 1 species
UAAUAAUUCUUACAACUUCUUGACCCACACUUUACUAACUAGAUUAUGUGUUACAAUAGCAUGAAUACAAGAUGUCUACAAUGUAAACGAGCUUAUAUGGGUACCACAAAUAAUAUUUUGUCAAUGGUGAAUGUUUCAAAUACAUUCCAUUUUAGCAUCAUUCAGUAGUAACAUCACUUCUGUCAAUCACAAUAUGCAGCACAGCAGAUUUUUUUUUCCUUUCAAUCACAAAAUACUGAUUUAACUUUUAUGUGGAAGAAUAGACAAGCAAGUAAAUGAUGCAAUGUUUAGAACAUAUAAUCUGUAAAGUAUUAUUUUAAAUGAUAAUGUCAGUUUUAAUCUAUCCAAAAAUCUAGCGCCAGCUUUUACAUGCUCCUAAUUUAAUUUGAGACCUCACUUACAUGAAAUGUUAUCUAUGCAACAGAGUUUGCAUAUAUGAGGAAAGUGACCACAAAAGUAGAUGUAUUCAGCUUUGGUGUCAUUGUGAUGGAGAUCAUUACAAAAAGAAGGCCAACAAGUCUUACCGGAGCAGAUGAAUUACCAAUGACUUUGCAUCAAAUUGUUCAGAAUGCCCUUGCGAAUGGCAUAAACAAGCUAGUUCAGAUUGUGGAUCCUAAUCUAGCUUCAUAUGUCUCCAAGAAACAGGAUGUACUAGAGGGACUUCUUAACUUGGCUUUGUCCUGCACCUCUGCUGAUCCUGAAGAUAGACCUGACAUGGAACAAGUUCUGUCUUCUCUUUCAAAGCUAAGUAAGAUGGACUGCAUGCCUUCACAUUUGGUAAAAGAUUAAAUUUGAUGUAGAAGAAGCUGGAAUAUCAUCACUCUUAAAGUGAACCACCACCAAGUUUCUCAUGGGGCUAAUGGAACUAGUUCAUAACUUAAAAUGUAUUUACUAUUUAAAUAAAUUUUCCGUAUUUCAAGCCAUAAAUGAUCUCUCGAGUAUUCCUGCUUUACUAGAGAGAUAUAAUGGAACUGUCCCGUCAGAUUAUUUUGAAGUUGACAUGCAUCAUGAAAAUGAACAAAAUAUUCAACAAUACUUCACAUUAAUUACAACUAAGGAGCAAAAAGCUAGAUCUUUACGAAGUUCUCUAGUGACAUGUAAUAGAGUUAGUGAGCAAGCAGUUGAUUGCAAACCAAAGUGCUAAUGUAGUCUGUCACUAAAGAUUAUCUACAGCAAAUGAGUACACUUACGAACACACAUAUAUAGAAGUGAAACUGAGGAAAACUCAAUAAGGGCUUUAAUAAGCCUACAAUCAUCCAUCAUAUUUUACCUUGAAAUAUGCAUUCUAGAAAUUUAUUUACUAGAGAGGGAACACGCAACCUCAUCUAUUGGUGGAUCAUUAUGCAAGAACUCGUCAAUGGUAGAGGGAAACUCAAAGCUUCCAACACCAUCAAAAACCUCUGAAUGAAUAAGAGAAGCUUUGCCUAAAAGCAGAUGAGCUAACCUAAAUGAUUCUCUUCUCUCUCCAUUACUCCUAUCCAGAAAAUGCUCAAUCCAACCUUCUAACCUCUCCACUUCUUUUUCACUUUUUGGCCCUUUAACCCCAACAAUGUUUCCAUAAAAUGCAUCAUCACAGCCCAAAUCCACUUCCACACUUUUGGUUCCUCCCCUUUUACUGUCCGAUAUACCCAAUAGCUGCAUCAACAGUUCAAUGUCAUCAACCCCAUCACCACCAGUUUCAACUGUACCAACUCUUUCUUGAACUUGUGUAGGGUUUAUCUGAGGUGGGGUUUCUUGGGCAAGUGGGGAAUUAGAGAGAAAUUGAAGUGGGGUUUCACUUUCUUUGAGGUUUGUGUAGCUGGUGAUGGAGUCAACAGGGGUCUCACUCUCAUCACAGUUAAGGUAUAAUGGGCUGAUCAUAGACUGGGUCGGUGUGUCGACGGCUUCUUGUUGUGUUGGUUCAUCAAGUUUCAAUCUUUUCUCCAAUUGUUUGAGAGAAGAGAAGAAAUUUGAGUGUGGAGAAGGUCUUUGCAUGUUUGGGAGGAAAUCAGAAUGAAUGAUUUGGGGGUUUAGGGUUUUAGCUGUGAGUAAAGAAGGGAUUAAGAAAAAAGAGCGCCAAUUGGUGAGAAAAAACAGUUGAAUAAACGGCUGAAUAGCUACAAUAUUGCUCUACGUCUCCGUGAGUUGUGGUGAAAUAGUUGAAUUCGAGCCCCCAAUGAAAUAAAUCUGUUUGCAAGCAUUGCCCCUGCUGUAUUAGCAGGCUCUAAUAUUAGAGUUGAUAAUUUCCUUAUUAUUUAUUUUAUAACUAGUAAAAUUAUUCGCGUUUUGUGCGGGAAUUUAAUAUCACAAAAUUUAUAAAAUAAUAUUUAAAACAUAUCAGUCAUUAAAAAAAAAUCACUAUAUUAUCUUAUAUACAAGAUUACGUAGUAACGAACAUUAAUAAUGUAAGGGAAAAUGAUAAUUAUAACAUUUUAUCAUUUAUCCUUCAAUCAAUCAUCCUUUUGCCUCCGGGAAGUGUUACUAUUUGAUAUUUUUGGAAAAUUAAAUGAACAUCAAUAUGAGAUAUUAAAUUUUAAUUGUGCAGAAGAAGAAGAAAUUCAAAAUUUCCGUUGUUUUAAAAUGAGAAAAAAUCCCUCUAUUCAUAGACAACAAAUGGUAGUGUGAACAAAUACUUAUUGUGCCUUAUCGAAAAUGUCACAACUCUUUGGAAAAGUUACAACCCUUCGGAAAGAUCACAACCUUUCAUAAAAAUAACAUUUUUUCAUAAAAGUCGCAACUCUUUAUAAAAGUCACAAUUUUUCACAGAAGACACAUUUUUUCAUGAAAGUGGAGGGCUAUUUUGAAAAUAAAUAAAUUUAAAAGGAAAUUCUAACUUGUGGUGGCGCCACGUAGGCGGACCUAUGGUUAUAUAUAUCGAAGGAAUUAGUUUUCUCAAAUUUAUUUUUGGAGGACAAUAAAGGAUUGAAUAACAUAUGUUGUGAUUUGUGAACAUGGAUAGUCCAAAUAGUGCUUAUGGUUAUGGACAAGUAGUCCAGCCAAACUGUUGGGCCUGUGGUACGAAACUAAAGGGACAAUUAAUCAAAAUGGCCAAUUGGUGAUAAUUCUCUCUUCUAGCAUCUUCAAAGCUCAAAUUUUAAAAUUAAUAUGCCGCAAACGUGGAUCACUUUGAAUAAAUAGUAUACCAAAAGACUCAAAACAUUGAGAUAAAUUCAUAUCUAAAAUUUGAGAUUGUUUAGAGGAAAUUUGAAAUGGUUGAGAUUGAGAAAAUAAUUGGUCUACAAUAUAUACUUCAUUGUCUCAACAAUGUAUAUAGAUGUAUAUAUCUCUCUCUAAUAUAUAGUUAUACAUCAUUCAUACAUGAGUAUACACUAUUUAUACAAUAUCGAUACAUUACAUAUACAUUUGUUGAUUUUUUGUUGUUGUCCGUACAUAUAUUGCUAAUUUUGGGUUAUUUUAUUAAUGUAAAUGAAAACUUGGCUACAUUUGAAACUACUUUUUAUUUUACCCAAAACUAAAAAUCUGAAAAAGAAAUUUUUUCGCAGGAACGGUUGGUUUAUUAGGUCUGCUCACACCUAUAUUGAUUCAUCACUCAAUUUGAUCUAAGUGAUCUUUGGACGAAAUGUAUCAUAAUUCUUUUAUUGAAUCAUUAUUUUUUAACCUUCUAAACUCGCCCUGUUCAUUUGAAGCUCCUUAUAAUUUUCUUCCAAUUUUAAAUUGCAUGAAGUUGUUUAUCUCGCUAUGCUUAUUUAAUUUCUUGGUAAAUAACAAAAUUAUCCUUAUGUUAUUGCGUUAUUCCAAGUUUUAGCCCUUAUGUUAUUCAUUUGAGCACAAUAAACCUUUGAUUAACAAAAACAUGUGAUAUUGGUUUUUUAAAUUAAUAGAAGUUAAAAAUUUAAAAGAAUUAAUAUUUGAAAAGUUUGAAAGAUCAAUAUCACAUAUUUUAAUUAAUUAAAAACUAAAUAUGCUCAGUGGUAUAACGCAAAGGACUAAAGUGGAUAUUCACCUUUAUUUUCUUGAUCAACUCAAGCUAAUGAUAUCUAUUAUCUAGUAGCAAUAUUGACUGAGAUUUGGCGACUUACAACAUGAGACUAUAAUUGGCGUGUUGACUACAAAACAAGUUAAUUAUGAUUAGUCAAGUUUAAUUAUUUUCAAAUAGAACCCACUUAUUUGCAUACUUUUUGCCACAUUCAUCUCUUAGAGGUCAGAUAAAAAUUGUGUGUACAUAAUCUAUUCAAACAUGUUGACAACUAAAAAAAUGAUAAAUUUGGGUGGCUGUUUGUCUCUCUUUGACCUAAUGUUCAAAGUAUACACGAGUGAAUGACAAAUGAUAAAAUAGAUUUAAACAUAUUACUUUAUUAGUUCAUAUAGAAGGUUUAGGUACACUGUUAAAUCAACGAUGAUUUCAUUUUGAACAAUAGUUUCAGGAAUAAGACUUUAUAUUAUUCAAUCUAUUAGGAACACAGGCGGAUCUAAGAAUUCUAUUAAAAAAAGAGAGGAAAAAAUACAUAUAUUAAGUGAUAAUUGAUCCUUGGGCGAUUAACUCAACAUUCAAUCAAGUGUACCAUUUAGCCUUAUUGGAGCAUGAGUGUGAUUAGAUAGUAUUAGAUCAAUUCUAGAAUAUAUGUACAUAAAACGACUAGUUUGAUGAAAAGAUCAUAGGUUCACGUGCACCAUAAAUAGGCUAUAAAUUCACCUCUGAUUGGGAAAUGACCACCGCUGAAUGUCAUCUUUCAGCUUGUCUAACUCUGCUGUUUCUCUAGAAAAGAAACAACUGAAAUGAACUUAUACAAUAUUUCUGCUCCAUAUGGCAGUUCUAGAAAAAAUAAUAGUAAUAAUAAAAACAGUUGACAUGAUGUAAUGUGAAUGCACUCAAUUUUCAAACAAUAUGAUCAGUUUUUGUAGGAAUUUCUGACAAAUUCAUAGAAUACAAGUCAUUGUACUUAGUUUUGAUGACUAGUUGACUUCUUCAACAGAAAACAGUAAGCAAAUAUCAUUAAUAAUUGUAUAAACUAUUCAUUUUCAGCUUAAGUUUGUAAAGAGAGUGAAGCUUCUUUCUUUUGAACCAAUGAUGUCAAAGACCACUGUAUAUGCAUUAGCCAUUUUUUUUAGUUCCUUUUUCAUAGCUUUGUCCUUUGGGGAAACUCCAAGCUUGGAAGUUGAAGUUGCUGCUUUGAAAGCUUUCAAGAACUCAAUCACUGAUGACCCUUUUGGUGCACUUGUGGAUUGGACUGAUGCAAAUCACAUUUGCAACUGGUCUGGAAUCAUAUGUGAUCCUUCUUCAAACCAUGUCAUCAACAUUUCGCUUAUUGGGAUGCAGCUCAAAGGCGAGAUUUCUCCGUUUCUAGGAGACCUCUCCAAACUCCAGGUUCUUGAUCUAACUUUGAAUUCAUUUACUGGAAAUAUCCCAGCCAAGCUGGGGCAUUGCACUGAGCUGGUUCAGCUCAUUCUUUACCGAAACUUUCUUUCUGGUGAAAUUCCUACCGAGCUAGGAAACCUCAAAAACCUGCAAUUAUUAAAUUUUGGAAAUAACUCUUUGAGUGGGAGAAUACCUGAGAGUAUAUGCAACUGCACUGAAUUGUUGUUAGUAAGCCUCAUCAACAACAGCCUCACAGGCAAAUUACCAUCUGAAAUUGGUAAUUUGGUCAAUCUUCAAUUGUUUGAAGCUUAUAGAAACAAUUUGGUUGGUUCUAUUCCUACCUCCAUUGGAAUGCUGACAGCUCUGCAAACCCUUGAUCUGAGCUCAAACCAGUUUUCUGGACCUAUACCACCAGAAAUUGGCAACUUGUCAAGUUUAGAAACUCUUCAGUUGCAUCACAACUUUCUUUCUGGGAAAAUCCCAUCUGAACUUGGCCUCUGUAUCAAUCUUGUUACCUUGGACAUGUAUAAUAACCAAUUCACUGGAGGCGUACCUCCUGAGCUAGGAAAUUUAGAAAAUUUGCACAGGCUCAGAUUGUAUAACAAUAAGUUGAACUCCAGUAUACCUGCCUCAUUGUUCCACCUGAAGUCAUUAACUCAUUUAGGACUCUCACAUAAUGAGCAAACUGGUAAAAUUCCUCCUGAGUUUGGAUCUUUAAUGUCACUACAAGUGCUUACCCUCCACUCAAAUAGGUUGUAUGGGGAGAUUCCAUCAACUUUGACAAACCUGGCAAACUUGACAUAUUUGUCUUUGAGCUUUAAUUUAUUGACAGGAUCACUUCCACCGGAACUUGGGUUACUCUAUAAUCUGAAGAAUCUAACUGCAAGUAAUAACCUCCUAGAGGGACCUAUUCCAUCUAGCAUAACAAAUUGUUCUCAUCUUCGUGUUUUAACCCUCACCUUUAAUAGAAUAACAGGUAAAAUACCAAAUGGGUUGGGGAAGUUGUCCAAUCUUACAUUUUUGUCUUUGGGAUCAAACAAAAUGUUGGGGGAGAUUCCUGAUGAUAUCUUCAACUGUUCAAUGCUUGAAGUUCUAGAUCUGAGUGGUAAUAAUUUUAGCGGGAAGCUCAAACCGAUGAUUGGCAGACUCUCUAAACUUCGAGUUCUAAGAGCUCAUAGUAAUUCAUUUCUUGGGCCAAUCCCACCAGAGAUUGGUAAACUGAGUCAACUGAUAGAUUUAGUGCUUCACAAAAACAGUUUCUCAGGUGUGAUACCACCAGAACUUUCAAAGCUUUCAAACCUCCAGGGCCUUUCUCUGUCAGACAAUAAGCUGGAAGGUGAACUUCCUGUGCAACUUUUUGAGCUUACACGCCUCUAUGAACUCCUGCUGCAGAACAAUAAUUUCUUCGGUCCAAUCCCCAAUCAGAUAUCCAAAUUAGAAUCACUUUCACUCCUGGACCUGAGUGGAAAUAAGCUUAACGGUACAAUCCCAGAGAGCAUGGUGAGCCUCCGCAGACUGACGACCUUAGAUGUUUCACACAACCUUCUAACCGGAACUCUUUCCAGAGCAGUACUUGCCAGCAUGAGAAGUAUGCAAUUUUACUUGAACGUUUCCAGCAACUUGUUGGAUGGAGAGAUCCCAUAUGAGAUUGGCAUGUUAGAAAUGGUUCAAGGGAUUGAUAUGUCAAACAACAAUCUAUCAGGCAACAUUCCCAGAUCCCUAGGACUCUGCAAAAACUUAUUCUCACUAGACCUAUCAGGAAACAUGCUGUCUGGUCCUGCUCCAGGCGAAACUCUGACCAAAUUAAGUGAGCUACUAUUCUUGAACCUCUCAAGGAACAGAUUAGAAGGCAAACUUCCUGACAUGGAAGGAUUGCCACAUCUUCGCUCACUUGAUCUUUCACAAAACAAGUUCAAGGGAAUCAUUCCUGAGAGAUUUGCCAAUAUGCCUGCAUUAAUAUAUCUCAACCUUUCUUUUAACCAGCUUGAAGGUCACAUUCCAAAGGGGGGUGUAUUCGACAACUUAAGGUCAGCAGAUUUACAGGGAAAUCCAUCUCUAUGUGGAACAGAGUUUCUCAGUCCAUGCAGCAUCAAAAGAAACCAAACAAGUUCUCAUGGGUUUUCCAAGAAAACCUGGAUCAUACUUGGGCCUGUUUUGGUUCUCAUUCUUUAUGUGGUGGGAAUAUUUUUGUAUCAUCUGUAUAUGAAGAAGCAAAAAGUGAAAGACACGGAAGAUAUAAUUCCAAAUUAUACCUCAGCACUUAGCCUCCAGAGAUUUUAUCAAAAGGAUUUGGAACAUGCUACUGAUAAUUUCAGUCCACAAAACAUUAUUGGAGCCAGCAGUUUAAGUAAUGUGUACAAAGGAACACUGGAAAGUGGGAAGAUUGUAGCAGUUAAGAAACUGAAUCUCCAGUUCUCAGCAGAAAUUCGUAAAUGCUUUGAUAGGGAGGUCAAGACUCUGAGCCAACUCAAACACAGGAACCUGGUUAAGGUGCUCGGUUAUGCUUGGGAAAGCAAGAAGCUAAUGGCUGUAAUUUUAGAAUACAUGGAGAAUGGGAACUUGGACAGUUUUAUUUAUGGUCAAAUGGCGGAUGAAUGGACAUUGUCCAAUAGGAUAGACAUUUUAGUUUCAGUAGCAAGUGGGCUGUCAUACCUGCAUUCAGGAUAUGAUUUUCCAAUAGUGCACUGUGACUUGAAGCCUUCAAAUAUUCUUCUGGAUAAAAAUAUGGAAGCACAUGUGAGUGACUUUGGGACAGCUAGGAUGUUGGGUAUUCAUCACCAAGAUGGGAGCAGCAUAUCAUCAGCAUCUGCAUUUGAAGGAACUAUUGGUUACAUGGCACCAGGUAAUAAUUAUUACAACAUCACUUCUGUAAAUCACAAUACACAGCUUAGCAGAUUUUCUUUUCCCGUCAAUCACAAAAUAAUGAUUAAUUUGUAUGUGGAAGAAUGGACAAGCAUUUAAGUGAUCCAAUGUUUUGAACAUAUAAUCUGAAAAGUAUUUUUUAAUGAUAAUACCAACUUUAGUCUAACCAGAAAAUGCUAGUGUCAGCUUUAGAAUUUUGAAUUUCUUGAACAUUUUACAUGCUCCUUAUUUAAUUUGAGACCUAACUCAAAUGAAAUGUUUUUCUAUGAAACAGAGUUUGCAUAUAUGAGGAAAGUGACCACAAAAGUAGAUGUAUUCAGCUUUGGUGUAAUUGUGAUGGAGAUCAUUACAAAAAGAAGGCCAACAAGUCUAACAGGUGCAGAUAAAUUACCAAUGACUUUGAAUCAAGUUGUUCAGAAUGCCCUUGCGAAUGGCAUAAGCAAGCUGGUCCAGAUUGUGGAUCCUAAUUUAGCUUCACAUGUCUCCAAGAACCAGGAGAUAGUAGAGGGACUUCUUAACUUGGCUUUAUCCUGCACCUCUCCGGAUCCUGAAGAUAGACCUGACAUGGAACAAGUUCUGUCUUCUCUUUCAAAGCUAAGUAAGAUGGAGAGCAUGCAUUCACACGCUUGUUUGGUAUCAUCAUUCUUAAUAUGAACCACCACCAAGUUUCCCUCGGUGGCCAAUGGAACUAGUCCACAACUGAAAAUGUAAUUACAAUUUAAAUAGAACUUACGUUUUUCAAGCCAUAAUUAUCUUUCAGGUAUUCCUGCUUUACUAGAGGGGUAUGGUUGAACUCUCACAUUAGAUUAAGUUAAAGUUGACUUGCAUCAUGAAAUUGAAGAACUCUGUACAUUAAUUACAACUAAGGAACAAAAAGCUAGAUCUUUACGAAGUACUCCAGUGACGUGUAAUAGUCAGCGAGCAGUUGAUUGCUAGACUAAAGUGCCAAUGCAUUCUGUUACUAGAGAUUGCCUACAGGAAAUGAGUACACUUUUGAACACGAAUAUAUAGAAGUGAAAUUGAGGAGAACUCAAAAAGAGGCCUUAAUAAGACUACAAUGAUACAUCAUAUUUUACCUUAAAAUAUGCAUUUUAGAAAUUUAUUUACUAUGCAAGAACUCAUCAAUGUAAGAGGGAAACUCAAAGCUUCCAAAACCAUCAAAAAUCUCCUAAGGAAUAAGAGCAGCUUUGCCUAAAGGCAGAUGAGCUAACCUAAAUGAUUCUCUUCGCUCUCCAGUACCCUUAUCCAGAAAAUGCUCAAUCCAACCUUCUAAUCUCUCCACUUCUUCUUCACUUUUUGCCCCCUUAACCCCAACAAUCUUUCCAUAAAAUGCAUCAUCACAGCCCAAAUCCACUUCCACCCUUUUGGAUCCUUCCCUUUUACCCUCCGAUAAACACAAUAGCUGCAUCAUCAGUUUACCCUCAUCAACCCCAUUACCACUAGCUUCAACUAUACCAACACUUUCUUGGGCAAGUGAGGAAUUAGAGAGAAAUUGAAGUGGGGUUUCACUUUCUUUAAGGUUUGUGUAUCUGGUGAUGGAGUCAGCAGGGGUCUCAUCACAGUUGAGGUAUAAUGGGCUGAUCAAAGACUGGUCGGUGUCUCAACGGCUUCUCGUUGAGAUGGGUCGUCAAGUUUCAAUCUUUUCUCCAAUUGUUUGAGAGAUGAGAAGAAAUUGGAAUGUGGAGAAGGUCUUUGCAUUAUUUUUUUAGUGAAUCAGAACUUGAAUUGAGUUUUUAGUUAUGGAAGGUUGAAGAAUGGAAAGGAAAAAAGAGCGCCAACUGCUGCAAAGGACAAUUUAAUCACUUUUGUUUGAAAUUUUACGCCGAUUUGGGAUUUCUGGGUAUGUUAUUUAAGGUAUUUUCUGAAUUAAUCCAUAUUCUCAAUGUUUAAAGAGCUUUGAUAUCCAGGGUCAGAUCCAGAGGUUCUGGUACGGGUUUACGAGAACCAAAUAACUUUUGCUUAUAUUCUGUAUGUGUUAAAAAUCUGAUUGUGAAUAGAAUUAUCAUUGAUUUAAAAGGUUCUAGGAUGACCUUUCAAUACAAGUGACUUUCCUUGUGCAUGUUUAUAGCUUGGAUCAUAUAGUUGCUAAUAAGAGUAUCCGAAAAAUGGAACAGGGAGAGAACAUAGCUACUGAAGUUUUGUGGAAAGUGUAUUCAUUUGUUUGCGUGAAACCAUGCAGUACAAAUGCUGAUAAGAGUAAAAAUAUAUUCAGAAAGGAGAAAAAGGAAUGUGUAAUAUAGCCACAUAGGUAUAACAUUGAGGAUAUAGACAAAUGAUUUCUCACAUGAUCACUCAACUAAUAUGUUAGCCAUUAUCUCAUAAAGUCACCUUAUUCUUGAUUCUAAUUUGUUUUUAACAAGAGUGACUUCUGAGAUAAUAACUAUCAGUUGAGUGACACUUUGAAGGAAACCAAAUUGCAGUAGAAUUAUCUGUUGUUCAACUGGUGGAUCACAAUUUGAUAGCAUUAGCAUUUCCUGCUCAUUUGGCAAAUUAAAGUCCAAUACCAAUAACCACGACUCUGUUUCAUUUAGAUACAUUAUGCUUUGAAAAAUCUAGUCCGAAUUUAGAUUUUUCCCAAUCAGGAGUUGGCAUGUAUGGUGGUGGAUUUUUGAAACAUUUACUUGGCCAGAAUAUGUUGUAUAAAGCACUGUUAUGUUCACAUGUGUCUGUUUGCCUAGGCGUAGGACCACUUGUAUGAGUGGUUGAGAAUAUGCCUGCUACUAGAAAAAUAGAAAUUAGUAAUGGACAAAUUUCGUAGUUAAACGACAAGUGAGCAAUUUAACGAUGAAGUUCAUAACCAGUAGAAGUUUUUUUUUUUAUAGAACGAUGAAAAUGAACUAACAUAACGGUUCAUUUUUCCCCUUAUUCCUUUCUAUUUUACACAGAGAAGGGAUUCGGGCUGUAAUUACUUCAAAAUGCCUGUAAUAGUGGUGUUGUCUUUUACCCUGCUGGAAGAAAAAUAUAUAAAGAAUGUCCUAAUGGAAAAAAGUAGAAGAUACUUUAAUGUAAGCUCAACAACAAAGACAGAGAGAAAUCUUUGUAGCCACAGAACAUUGGUUGGUCCCCCAAGUAAAAAUCUUGGAAGAUUUUUGGAUUUGUGAUUGCCAAGUGUGAAUGGAGAGUAAUCUUGACAUCCAAUGAGAUCAUAGAUAUAGAUAUCACUAGAUAAGGACUCUUCCCUAUCUUACUUACUAUAUAUAGUGAAGUUUCAAUAACUUCAGCUCAUCACAACUAACUUUUACAUAUCAAACUAGCAACCCCCUCACUUUCCUCUCUUUAUAAACCAUGGCAGCUGCUACAAUGGCUCUUUCUUCCCCUUCUUUUGCUGGACAGGCAGUGAAACUCUCACCCUCUGCCUCAGAAAUCACUGGAAAUGGAAGGAUCACUAUGAGAAAGGCUGUCGCCAAGUCUGCCCCAUCUAGCAGCCCAUGGUAUGGCCCUGACCGUGUUAAGUACUUGGGCCCAUUCUCUGGUGAGUCCCCAAGCUACUUGACCGGUGAAUUCCCUGGUGACUACGGACCGUGUUAAGUACUUGGGCCCAUUCUCUGGUGAGUCCCCAAGCUACUUGACUGGCGAAUUCCCUGGUGACUAUGGAUGGGAUACCGCUGGACUUUCAGCAGACCCUGAGACCUUUGCCAAGAACCGUGAACUUGAGGUGAUCCACUGCAGAUGGGCUAUGCUUGGUGCUCUUGGAUGUGUCUUCCCUGAGCUAUUGGCCCGUAAUGGUGUCAAGUUCGGUGAGGCUGUGUGGUUCAAGGCCGGAUCCCAGAUCUUCAGCGAGGGUGGACUUGACUACUUGGGCAACCCAAGCUUGGUCCAUGCACAGAGCAUCUUGGCCAUCUGGGCUUGCCAAGUUGUCUUGAUGGGAGCCGUUGAAGGUUACCGUAUUGCUGGUGGACCUCUUGGUGAGGUUGUCGACCCACUCUACCCUGGUGGCAGCUUUGACCCAUUAGGCCUUGCUGAAGACCCAGAGGCAUUUGCUGAGCUCAAAGUAAAGGAGAUUAAGAACGGCAGACUUGCUAUGUUCUCUAUGUUUGGAUUCUUCGUUCAGGCCAUUGUUACCGGAAAGGGUCCAUUGGAGAACCUUGCUGACCACCUUGCAGACCCCGUUAACAACAACGCUUGGGCUUUCGCCACAAACUUUGUCCCCGGAAAAUGAAUAUCAUAAUAUAAUUUUUUAAUUUUGAUUGUUCGAUGGCCCUGUAAAGUAGUUGUGACUUACUUGAUAAUAGAAUGGUUCUUUUUUCCAUAUUCCAGUGAUUGUGUAGUUCUGAGUUACAUUUUCCAAAUCUACGAAUCAAAUAUUGCCACUUCCAUACCAAAGGGGAAAUUAAAGAAAGAGAACAGAGCAAAAAGACUGAAGAUACAUAUGAGAUGUGGUAACAAGAAAAACUAUAAAGCUGUUGUAAGCUUAAAACUUGAAUUUUCAGACCAGAGGAACUUAUGGAAUUCAGUUAAUUCUCGAGAAACAAUACUCAAAAUUAGUGUAAAGUACUAAUGUUGAACAACAUGAUGUUAUUACAUGAUUCCUCAUUUAUCUAUCGAAAAGUGAGAGGAAAUAAGAGGACAUUGUUUCAUUUCACUACCAGAACAUUGAGACAGGGGAAGAAAACCAAUAUGUUUUGUAGUCUGAAUGUAGUAAGUAAUAUAUGAGUUUCCAGGUCCAUACAGUAUGUCUCCUUUGAACAAAUUCAUAAAUUUCUUGUAAAAUCCUCCUGCCUCACAUGAGGUACUAUCUUUAGAUUAAAAGCAUCCUUGACAGAUCCUUCAAAACAAGGUACAUAGUAAUGACCAGAGCACAAAGGACAUACAUAUGUAGUUAGAAGAAGACACAAGUACUGCUAAAUAUGACACUUAUUGGCAACAAAUUCAAGUUCCAUGCACUAAUAACGUAAACAAUAUUUACACAAAUUACUUAGUAAGUAAUUAAAGGUAAAUCACUUGAUAACAUUAAUCGGUAGUCUGGUAAAAAAUGGGAAUUGCCUACUAUCACACGUUAAAAUUUACUGAUGUAACUUCUAUUUCCCUUAACGCAGCGCAAAAUUGUGAUGCUGAUGAAUUCCAACAAAUUAAAAUCUUUGCUCAUAUUCUUCUGAACAAGCUCUUUCCAAGGCUCAGCAUUGCUCAUGUAGUAGUUAAGUAACACGUACUAAGCCGCAUUAAAUCUCUAAACCUAACAGUAUUGUGAAUGAGCAUAAAACAAUAUAACCUGUGUGGCUAACAUAAACAACUUUGGUAAUUAAGGUCUAAUAUAAUAAAGUUUCAAUCACAUUGCUUUCCAAACAUAAAGAUGCAUUAUUAAGUUCCCAAAAUUUAUGAAUCAAGUAGUAAUAAAUUUCAACUUUUCCUCAAAUUUCCUAAACCAUAGUUCUACAUUGAAUGAAGUAUAGUGGUGGUAUGUUUUACCCUGCAGGUAGAUAAAAUCUAGAGAAAUGCCAAGUGGAUAAUGAUAGGGAUAUCAUAUUGUAAGCUCAACAAAUCACAGGGCAGAUUCCAAUCCUUGUGGCAACAUAUGAGAGGACAAUAUUGGUUGUGUCCCUUGCUGGAAAAUUGAUGGAUUGGAGAUUGCUAAAUGUGCAUAAUUGCUACAAGUAGGAUCUUGAUAGCCAAUGAGAUCAUAGAUAUAGAUUUCACUAGAUAAGGACUCUUUCCCUCUUUCUUAAUUCCUAUAUAUGGUGAAUUAAUUCCCUUGUAACUUCAUCUCAUCACAGCCUUCAACAAUAUUUCAUACCAUCAAACACUCAACACUUUUCUCUUAAUCUAAAUCAUGGCAGCUGCUACAAUGGCUCUUUCUUCCCCUUCUUUUGCUGGACAGGCAGUGAAACUUUCACCAUCUGCCUCAGAAAUUUCUGGAAAUGGAAGGAUCACUAUGAGAAAGGCUGUCGCCAAGUCUGCCCCAUCUAGCAGCCCAUGGUAUGGCCCUGACCGUGUUAAGUACUUGGGCCCAUUCUCUGGUGAGUCCCCAAGCUACUUGACUGGCGAAUUCCCUGGUGACUAUGGAUGGGAUACCGCUGGACUUUCAGCAGACCCUGAGACCUUUGCCAAGAACCGUGAACUUGAGGUGAUCCACUGCAGAUGGGCAAUGCUUGGUGCUCUUGGAUGUGUCUUCCCUGAGCUCUUGGCCCGUAACGGUGUCAAGUUCGGCGAGGCUGUGUGGUUCAAGGCCGGAUCCCAGAUCUUCAGCGAGGGUGGACUUGACUACUUGGGCAACCCAAGCUUGGUCCAUGCACAAAGCAUCUUGGCCAUUUGGGCUUGCCAAGUUGUGUUAAUGGGAGCUGUUGAGGGAUACCGUAUUGCAGGUGGACCUCUUGGUGAGGUCGUCGACCCACUCUACCCUGGCGGCAGUUUUGACCCAUUAGGUCUUGCUGAUGAUCCAGAGGCAUUUGCUGAGCUCAAAGUAAAGGAGAUUAAGAACGGCAGACUUGCUAUGUUCUCUAUGUUUGGAUUCUUCGUUCAGGCCAUUGUUACCGGAAAGGGUCCAUUGGAGAACCUUGCUGACCACCUUGCAGACCCCGUUAACAACAAUGCAUGGGCCUUUGCCACAAACUUUGUUCCCGGAAAAUGAAUAUCAUAAAACGUUCUCUAGAUAUUAUUGUUUGAUGGCUUUGUAAAGUUUUAGUUGUGAGUUUACUUGACAAUAGAAUGGAUUUUUCUUAGUCCUGAAUUUCAUUUUCCAAUGAUGAAUGAAAUACUGCAAAAUUCAUAUUGAAGGGGAAAAUUGAUGACAAAGCAAAAAUAACAAGACCAAAGUUACAUUUGAGAUGUGGUAAAAGCUUAAACCUGAAUAUACAGACCAGAGACUUAUGGAAUUCAAUUAAUUCUCAAGAAGAAAUACUCUAACUUAGAGCCAAUAAUAACAUUGAACAACAUGAUGUUAUUUACUUUCAUGAUUCUUUAUUUUUCUGUCAAGAAGUGAAAGAGGAAUUAAGGGAAAACCAAUGUACAAUAUGUUUUAUAAUCUGAACGUAGCAAGUAAUAUAUGAGUUUCCAGGUCAUUAUACUUAUGUGUAAAGUACUAAUGUUGAAUACCAUGACGCUAUUACAUGAUUCCUCAUUUUUCUGUCGAGAAGUGAAAGAGGAAAUAAGAAGACACUGUUUCAUUUCGAUGAAAAGUGAAAACCAAUGUGGUUAAUAUAUGAGUUUACAGGUCCUUACAUUAUGUGUCCUGUGAACAAAUUCAUAAAUUUCUUGAAAAAACCAUCCUUCCUAACAUCUGAUACCAUCUUAAGAUUAAAAGAUCUUUGACAGAUCCUUCCAAACAAGGUGCAUAGUAAUGACCAGAGCCAAAGGACAUACUUGUAUAGUUAGUUAGCAGAAGAGACAUGUAAUGCUAUACAUGACACUUAUUGGCAACAAAUUUAAGCUCUAUACACUAAUAAUAUAAAAAAUAUAUACAAUCAGUUUACUUAUAAAGUAAUUAUAUGGAAAUCCGUUGAUAAACAUUACUCCAAUUGGUAGUCUCGUAAAAAUAGGGAACUGACCUACUGUCACAUAUUAAAAUUUACCGAUAGUGUAAAAACAUCUUUACACCGUCAGUGCAUAUAACUUAAAUCAACAAUUAGUAAAUUAUAUUUCUCUCAAGUCUUAACACAGCCAAUAUAUUGUGAUGCUGAUGAAUUCAAAUAAAUUAAAUUUUUUGCUCAUGUUCGUCUGAACAAGCUCUUUCCAAGUUUCAGCAUUGCUCAUCUAGCAGUUAAGUACAGGUACUAAGCCACAUUAAAUCUCUAAAAAUGAAUUAACAUUGUCUUGAAUGAGCUUAAAACAAGAUAGCAUGUGUGGCUAACAUAAACAACUUUGUCAAUUGAGGUCUAAUAUAUUAAUAAAGUUUCAAUCGCAUUGUUUUCCAUACAUAAACAUGCAUUAUUAAUUUCCCACAAUUUAUGCAUCAAGUGGUAAUAAAUUUCAACUUCUCCUCAAAUUUCCUAAACCAUAGUUCUACAUCUUUUACCCUGCAGGUAGACAAAAUCUAUAGAAAUGGCAAGUGGAUAAUGAUAGGUAUAUCAUAAUGUAAGCUCAACAAAUCACAGGGCAGAGUUCAAUCCUUGUGACCACAUAUGAUAGGACAAUAUUGAAUGUGUCCCUUCUUGGAAAAUUGAUGGAUUGGAGAUUCAAGUGUGCAUUAAUUGCCACAUAUGGGAUCUUGAUACCCAAUGAGAUCAUAGAUAUAUAUAUCACUAGAUAAGAAGAUUCUUUCUCUCUAAUUACCUCCUAUAUAUUCUGAACCCCAACUAACUUCAGCUUCAUCACAACCAACUUUGAGAUUUCAAACACCCAUCACUUUUCUCUUGUUAUAAACCAUGGCAGCUUCCACAAUGGCUCUUUCUUCCCCUUCUUUUGCUGGACAGGCAGUGAAACUCUCACCCUCUGCCUCAGAAAUCACUGGAAAUGGAAGGAUCACUAUGAGAAAGGCUGUCGCCAAGUCUGCUCCAUCUAGCAGCCCAUGGUAUGGACCAGACCGUGUUAAGUACUUAGGCCCAUUCUCUGGUGAGUCCCCAAGCUACUUGACCGGUGAAUUCCCUGGUGACUACGGCUGGGAUACUGCUGGACUUUCAGCAGACCCUGAAACCUUUGCCAAGAACCGUGAACUCGAGGUGAUCCAUUGCAGAUGGGCUAUGCUUGGUGCUCUUGGAUGUGUCUUCCCUGAGCUCUUGGCCCGUAACGGUGUCAAGUUUGGUGAGGCUGUGUGGUUCAAAGCUGGAUCCCAGAUCUUCAGCGAGGGUGGACUUGACUACUUGGGCAACCCAAGCUUGGUCCAUGCACAAAGCAUCUUGGCCAUUUGGGCUUGCCAAGUUGUGUUGAUGGGAGCCGUUGAGGGAUACCGUAUUGCUGGUGGACCGCUUGGUGAGGUUGUCGACCCACUCUACCCUGGUGGCAGCUUUGACCCAUUAGGUCUUGCUGAUGACCCAGAGGCAUUUGCUGAGCUCAAGGUAAAGGAGAUUAAGAACGGUAGACUUGCUAUGUUCUCUAUGUUUGGAUUCUUUGUUCAAGCUAUUGUCACCGGAAAGGGUCCAUUGGAGAACCUUGCUGACCACCUUGCAGAUCCAGUUAACAACAAUGCCUGGGCCUUCGCCACAAACUUUGUUCCCGGAAAAUGAAUAUCUUAAAAUGUUCUCAAAGAAUAUGAUUGUUUGAUAGCCUUGUAAAGUUGUAAUCGUGAGUUUACUAGACAAUAGAAUGGAUUUUUCUUAUAUUCCAAUUAUGGUGUUGUCUAUAAGUUUGCUUUCCAAUGGCAUGAAUGAAUCAUAUCAAAGGGAAAAAAAAAGAUGACAGAGCAAAAACAAAAACCCAAGAUACAAUUGGGAUGUGGUAAAAGCAUAAAACUUGAACAUACAGACCAGAGGAACUAAUGGAAUUCAAUUAAUUAUCAACAAGAAAUACUCUAAUUUAGUGCCAAGAAUAACAUUGAACAACAUUGUGUUAUUUAUUUACAUGAUUCCUUAUUUUUCUGUCAAGAAGUGAAAGAGGAAUUAAGAGGACAUAAUAUUAUUUCACUACUAGACCAUUUACAUUUCAAUGAUAAUGGAAAACCAAUGUAUAGUAUGUUUUGUAAUCUGAAGAGAAAAAGCUCAAAAUAGUCCCUUAUCUUUGAGUUAAUGCAUGAGUUUCCAGGUCAUUAUACCUAUGUUCCCUUAGUUUAUUUAGCAUGAACAAAUUCAUAAAGUUCUUGUGUAUUUCUCCUUCGUUACAUGCAUAUGGUACUAUCUUUAGAGAAGAACAUGGCACAUAGCAAUGACCAGAGCCAAAAGGACAUAGUAAGCAGAAUAUACUAGUAAGCUAUACAUGCAUGACAUUUAUUAGAGAGGUAAUUAAGUUCUCGCUGUAAAAAAUACUUAAACCAUAUCACUUAUUAACACAGGCAGAGGUAGACUACAGCGAUGAAUGGAAUGUCCCACAUCAGUGAAUGAAUGAAAUCCUGGCCUCCUUAUAAGGCUUGGGCAAUAUUAUUUCCUUUGAGCUAGCUUUUGGGGUUGAGUUAGGCUCAAAAUCCGUUUUAUACAUCCAACAUUAAAUAUGUACGACUUACACAACUAAACUUAGAAUCCAUUUACUAAAAACCAAGUAGUUUUGGUCCACCUCAUGUAUAUGUAAAGAAAUAAAGUUCAAAUCUUGAUCCAUCUUUACUUAUUAAGUAAUUACAGGUUAAUCUUUUGAUAAACAUUAAAUGAUAAUAUGAUUAAAAUGAAUUCCAGCUUUUCCUCAAUUUAUUUAGUGAAAGGUUACAUUAUAGUUCUAGAUUGAAUGAGCUAUAGUGCUGAAAGAUAAAAUCUGGAGAAAUUACCAAUGGAUAACUGACAAGAGAUAUCAGUAUUGUAAGCUCAACAAAUCACAGGGUAGAGUUCAAGCCACACAUAGGAGGACAAUAUUGGUUGGGUCCCUUUAGUAAACAUCUUGGAAAAUUGAUGGAUUAGAGAUUGUCAAGUUGCAUUAAUUGCUACACAUGGAAUCUUGAUACCCAAUGAGAUCAUAGAUAUGAAUAUCACUAGAUAAUUAGGACUCUUUCCCUCUUAAUUACUCCCUAUAUAUGGUGAAUUAAUUCCCUUUGUAACUUCAUCUCACCACAGCCAAAUUCAACAGUAUUUCAUACCAUCAAAUUUAUAUAUCGAAACUAUAAUAAGGGGAGGACUAAACGCAAAAGAGUUUCUUCUUAUGAGUUAACUAUACAUUAUAAACAUUUAUCAUUUUACUUUUCAUAGUUUUGUUGCAACUCAAAUACAAUUUUAAAAGAAAUUAUGUGAUUUUUAAUAAUUCAUAUUCAUCGUUAUGGAGUACACAUGCAACGCACGUGAGUGCCAAGAAUAACAUAGAACAACAUGAUGUUAUUUACAUUAUUCCUUAUUUUUCUAUCUGAGAAGUGAGAUGAUUUAAGUGUACCUAACAUUAUUUCACUACUACAUCAUUGACAUUUCAUUGAUGAGGGAAAACCAAUGUGUAUGUUAUGUAAUCUGAACGUAGCAAGUAAAAGCAUCUAUGCGACUGCUUAUAUAACAGAGGCAGAUAUAUAUCCUCCAAAUAUUGCAUAUAGUAACGAGUAACGACCAGAGCCAAAAUUAAGGAAAUAGUAAGCAGAAGAUACAAGUAACUGAGUAAGCUAUACAUGAAAGGAAAUUAAGUUCUAAGCAUUGACAUUGUAAAAAUGCUAAUGCUCAUGUCACUUAUUAACAGGGGCAAGGGUAGGCUUCAUCAUACAUGUUUGUUUGACAGAACCAAUUAAGUAGCUUUGGUUCAAACCAUAUAUAUAUGUGUUAAGAAACAAACAAAUUAAAUAAAAGAAUCCAUUUACUAGUAAUUAAAUUAAACAUAUAUAGAAUGUUCUAUGACUAUAUAUACCUCUUCAUGACCAUAAGAUUUUCAAAAAUCCAUGCAUGGACCUUGGUUAAAAAAAAUGAUAUUCUGCAUUGCCUUAAUGUCGCCAAAUGCUUUAGUGACUCUUGGAUGCAAUGACAUUAAAUCAAAGCUGCUAAAUGUUUUUGCGGAAAAUCUAUUGUCAUUGAAUGUCUCUUUUGUUGUAGAGAUAUGUGUUAAAGAAAUUCAUUACAUAUAUACACAAAUUAAAUUUAGAAUCCGUUUACUAGUACUUAAGAUCAUCGUCCUAGAUUUCAGAACCCAUAAAGUUCAAAUCUUGAUCCACCUUUGCUUAUUAAGUAACUAGUUAUAGGGAACGUGCGUUGCACGUUUGUUUCCUACUAUUUUAUAAAAUCAUAAUUUUAUGUUGAUAGUUAUUUAUCGCAUAAUUUAUUUUUAUAGAUAUGCCAAAACUUGUAUUGAUUAAUAUGUAUAUGUAUAAAGUUUACAUUUUCAUCCAAAAGAAAAAAUAAAGAUUCGAAAUAUAGUCGUCUAGACUAAGAUAUAUUCUAGUAAAUAUAUAUAUAUGUUUUCUCUAUACAGACACAACCAUUUAGAUUAAUAUUAUAGUUUUAUUUUUACUUAUUUGUUUGACAGCUAAGAAAUACUCAAAUAUGUAAAAUCAAUUAAGAUUAUAUAACACCUAAUCUAAUAAGAUGAAUAUUAGCUUUAAAUUUAAGAAUAAAAUAUACAACAUUAUGGAGUAUUAUCUUCUAUAAAUAUUAUAUGAUAAUAAUACAUCAUCAUUUUUAUUUUUUUAUUUUUAUCUUACUGUCUACUUUCAUUUUCAUUUUCCUCUCUUACUAUGUACAUAUAUAAAUAUUUCCCACUUUGUGCCUACAUUCAUUCAGAUUCUUCAAUUUCCACGUUUAUGAAAAAUCCAAUGUUAUGGAAAAUUAACCCAAAAUCAUUUUUUAAACUAAAACUUCUAGUAUUUUAAUUUUAAUAUAAAUUUAAAAUGCUCCAAUACAAAAAGGGAAAUGACAUAAGAAGAAAAUUAUACUGACACAAGAGAUCACGUAGCUUCAGAUCAAAAUUAUUGUAGGACUCACGAUCCUUAUUUUCUUUCUUCUUCUUAUUUCACCUCAUGAUAAGCUUUAACUGAAAUUACAAAAUGAUCUUGUAUUGUUAAUGCCUUGGUAUGUCACAUCUUUACAUUAUACUUAUUUCUAUAAAAUUCAGACUAUGAAGAAUUUGGACUUGGGAUAGAAAAUGUGAGAUGGUGAAUGCAUAUGAUGUGUCUGUUUGUACAUAGUAUUUUGGGAUAAGCGUCUGAAAAAUACCCCAACUUUGGUCGGAUUUGCUGUUGCGAUACUAAACUUUUCACGAGGACCUAUUACCUCCCUAGACUAUUUAAUACCGUAUUUUAAACAUAUAUAUUUGUCCACGUGGACAUAAAAAAUAAUGCAAAAUUAUAAAUAGUAAUGUGUCCACGUGGGCACAUAUAUACCUUUAAAAUACACUAUUAAAUUGUUCAGGGGGUAAAAAAUACGAUAUUAAAUAGUCGAGAGAAAUAAUAAGUCCUCGUGAAAGUUUAGUAUCGCAACAGCAAAUUCGACCAAAGUUGAGGUAUUUUUCAGACCCUUAUCCCUAGUAUUUUCAAAAUUUAAGAAAAGAGUCAUUUCUCUUUUUUAUGAAGCUAUAACUAAGAAUUUUUGAAGAUUUCGAUAUUGGCAUGUGUAAUUGAAGAACAAAAAAGUGUCUAAUGAUGUAACGGAAGAAAAAAAAAGAGAUUGUUAAUAAUUUCGCGACUUAACUUUUCUUUUCAAUACCUUAAAUGUAUUAAAAAGAAAUUAAAUAGAAGAAAAUGCCACUUAACUUUUAUAGGGCCCUUUUGUAAUCGAACUUUCAAUUAUAAGGUUAUCGUAUUACACGUGCAAUACAAUAAUGUUUGACAGACGUCCCCUCAGAAUUUGGCUCGUCGUUUAUUAUCUGGCAUAACCAUUUAAGAUGAGAAACAACAACAUCUUUCUUCUUACCCCAUUCACGAAUCCUUAUAUGAAAUUCAGCCGCAACAAUUAAUAAAUAAACACCUUGAAUUGAUGUCAAAAUGAACGCUUAAUAUAUAUAUAUAUAUAUAGAAAGAGAGAGAAAGAGAGAGAGAGGUGGAGCUACAUACAAAUUUAGCAUCAUAUAUAAUUGCUUAUUUCUAAGGUAUAGAAUGAAUAAUGUCAAAUACUCGGUGCAGAUAAAGUUAUGCCUUUCAAUAUUAUGAAUUACCAAAUAUAAGGAAAGAAUAUUAAUCAUAAAAUACCAUACAUAAAAAAAUAAACUAUCACAAUUAUAUUGAUGUAGAAUAAACACAAACUUACUUUCUUGAAGCUUGUUAUAAGAUUAUAGGAACUCAUUCUCAUGUUCGAAUUCAAUUAUACAUCCUUGACUAAAUUUUUAUUGCUGCAACAAAAAAAUAUCCAAAAAAUUUAACAAUCAAAUAUUUUGUUUAAAUAACUAUCAAAGAAAAAUCAACUACAAAAAAAAUAAUAUAAUAUUUUCUAAUACAAUUGAGAAUCUAAUAAUUAGAAAAUUAAAAAACACAUGAACCAUAGAAAAUGUUGAUAGGUCUGGAAUAUAUAUAGUAAGAGGAUGCAUAUUUUUUUGACUUAUGAAAUUCUUCUUUAAUAGACAAAUAAAUAAAGAAAAGAUCAAUUGAAUAGAUAAGAUGAAUAUGAACAUUUCAAAUUUUAUUUUUCCAACCUUUGAGAUUCUCAUCAAACGUAAUUAAUUGGUUAAUAUGUGGUCACUUCCCAUUUAAUUGAUUAUUGUCAUUUAUUAGAUGGUAAAUUUAUUAUUUGGUACAAAAAUAUCAUAGAAUCAGUAUUUAAAUUAGGGGUAGUAACGUUGAUUAAUUUUAAUGUAGAUUUUUGUACUUAUUUUAUUUUAAACUUAUGUUUUCCUACUUUUAAAUAACUUACAAUUCAAAAAAUAAUUAAAAUAAUAUUAUUUAAUUAGUUAGAUGUUUAAUUUAAUCUAGGGGUAAAAUGGUAAUUCAACUUUCAUCUUUGGAGCUUCCCACUUAUAAUAAUAUUAGAUUCACUGCACGUGCGUUGCACGUGUAGGUUAAGUCCUGAGAUCCCUAUACACGAUAUAUUUUAUAUUUUAUGUAUAUUUUAGGCUUUCAACAUAUCAAUAUGCAUUUAAUAUUGCACUACGUCAUACUAAGUAAAUGGCCAAUCUAUUUGCCUUCUUGCUUGUUCGUCAUGUGGUGACGAACGUCGUAUUCUUAAAUUGUUAUUAGGCAAUUUGUUAGUAAGUAAUUGUGCACGAAUUAACUGGUUGCCCUCUUAGUUAUGUCGUGUCAUGAACUGUAUGCUCCCUUUCAAUAUUUGAAAUUCAAUGUACCCUGUAUUUGAAUAACUUUAUAUACGCAAAAGUAAUAUCUUCUGUCGUAGAUGUCUGUUGUUUUUCAUAUCGUCUCCUCUUCCACCAAAACUAAGAAUUCUUCCAAUAUAAUUUUCAUUAGCUACAUGUGUGGUGUAUGUUUUUUCCUGUUUGAUUUCUUACAAUUUUGGUAUUAAUCAAAUCUCACCUAAUACUUUCUUGUAGACAGUAUUUUCUUGUGUUUAUCCCGAUGUAUCAAUCUGGUUGUUAAGUCAUGACCUGCACUUUUUUUGUUGACAUAGAUAUUCCUCUAGAUAGUGCAACAUAUAGUUUGCCAUGUGAGAAAGCAUGUUGUGGUAGGUAUACUCCUACAUUUGAUAUCGUUUGACUUUUAGCUUUAUUUAUCAUCAUUGCAAAAACAUAGACAUAUUGGAAAUUGUUUCCGAAUAAAUUUGAAAGGGUAUUGUUGUUUUUUCUGCAUGUAUGACAUUCUCGUCAAAGCCUCUACAAAACAACCAUGCCCCAUUGCAUAAGCCAAUUGAAGGGUCCAGUUUUCUCAGCAGCAUGAUGGGCGCAUUUUCUUUCAAAACUAACCUAAUGUAUAAAAUUAAAAGAAUCAUCAAUUGUUAUGUAUAUGUAAUCCUGUAAUUGUUUUCUUCUCUUUUAUGCUAUGAAGUAUCACAAUAAGAUAACUGUAAAAGUUAGGAUGUAUUAAACAACGUACCUAUGCGGCGGAGUCCAUUGGUUGUUAAGGUGUUUAGGUAUAAAUACAGUUCAUAUCUUUACUGAGGUCGAUUCUAUGUAGUCUUGCAUGCUGCAGCCUAGUAAAUAUUUAGCCUCUUCAAAAUAGUAUUUGGUAGUUAAAUUUCAGUCGUCAUGUGGGAUGGAGCUUGAUGACUACCAUUGGGAGAUGAGAGUGACAAUGUUAAUUCUAUGCGUUAUUGUGUAUUAGUACCAUUGAUGAGGGCGGCAAAUGGUCGAAAUCGACAUAAUUAGGCAGGAAUUUAUUGCAUAAAAGAGGGUGUCAUUAAGAUGUAAAGUGCAUCUAAAGUAAGGUUAGAAGUAACAUAUAUAUGUAAAGUAUGUGUCUAAAAUUGGCAGGAGACUGUAUGUGAGCAGGUUAACCAAUAAUAGGUUGUAUAAGUAAUGCUUCACUGUGAAGAAACAAAGUUAAUUAGUGGUGUAAAGUAUGUGUUUACAAUUGCCAGGGGACUGUAAGCAAGCAGGUGAACUAAUAAAUAUAUAAUUGCAUUAAUAAAAAUACUUAUCUCAUAAAAUUAGCUAUCAAAUAAAUUAUACAAAUUAAACUAAUACAAACUUCAACUGGCAUUAUUACAAGUCAUAUGAACUUUUCUUCAUCUAAAAUACUGAAAUAUUAAGAAAUAAUAAAUAAGUAGAACAAAACGGCAAUGUUUAUAUAGUAAUAAAUUCAUUCUUUUGUCUUGAGCAUCAAAAACAAAUCGUGACAAUUCUCUAAAUUUUGAAAAAAGAUAUUUAGAAGCAUAUAUCUACUUCACAAGAGAAAUUGUUAACAAAAACAAAUGAAUUUAGACUACAUUAUGUUAACUUCAUUUAUUGGAACAUUACAUACUAAUGUAUAUAUUAAGCAAAAAAAUAAUUAUUAUAUCAUAAAAUUAUAUUAUUUUCCUCAAGUACUCGAGGUAAUGGAAUAUACCCUCUUAGGAUAGAACGACUUACUUCAUCAGAAUAGUGGUACCUCAUAUUAUGCUAAAUUUCGAACUCACUCAACGACAAUAAAUCAUACCAAAAAAAUUAAAAUGCAAGAAGAAGAAGAAGAGUAGAAGAUUAAAAAAAAUGUGGUUGAAAAAUGAGAGGAAGUCCAUCUAUUUAUAUUCAACAAAGGGUAGUAUGAACAAAAAAAAUUUGUGUCUUAUCUAAAAAAUCAUGACCUUUCCGAGAAGUCACAACACUUUGGAAAAUUAACAACUUUUUGAAAAAGUCACAACUCUUUGGAAAAGUUACAACUUAUUGAAAAAUUCACAAUUCUUUGGAAAAGUCACAACUUAUUGAAAAACUCACAACUCUUUGGAAAAGUCACAACUCAUCGAAAAAUCAUAACCCUUCGAAAAAAGUCACAACUUAUUGGAAAAGUCACAAGUAUUCGAAAAAGUCACAACCUAAGUUAGGGAUAUUAUAGUAAUUUAACAUUCAAGUUAGGAGUUCAUGUUUUUAAGGUAAUAUAGAUAUGAUUAGAGGUUAAACAUGAAGUGAUAAUAUGAUACAAACGAAUUUCAGCUUUUCCUCAAUUUAUUUAGUGAAAGGCUUAACCAUAGUUCUACAUUGAAUAAGCUAUAGUGCUGAUAGAUAAAAUUUGGAGAAAUUCCCAAUGGAUAAUGAUAAGAGAUAUCAGUAUUGUAAGCUCAACAAAUCAGAGGGUAGAGUUCAAUCCACACAUAGGAGGACAAUAUUAAUUGGAUGGGUCCCUUUAGUAAACAUCUUGGAAAUUGAUGGAUUGGAGAUUGGCAAGAUUGCAUUAAUUGCUACACAUGGUAUCUAGAUACCCAAUGAGAUCAUAGAUAUAGAUAUCAUUAGAUAAUUUGGACUUUUUCCCUCUUAACUACUCCCUAUAUAUGGUGAAUUAAUUCCCUAGUAACUUCAUCUCAUCACAACCAACUUCAACAAUAAUUCAAACCCUCAAACACUUUACUUUUCUCUUCAGAUAUAACCAUGGCAGCUGCAACAAUGGCUCUUUCUUCCCCUUCUUUUGCCGGACAGGCAGUGAAGCUUUCACCAUCUGCCUCAGAAAUUACUGGAAAUGGAAGAAUCACUAUGAGAAAGGCUGUCGCCAAGUCUGCCUCGUCUAGCAGCCCAUGGUAUGGACCAGACCGUGUUAAGUACUUAGGCCCAUUCUCUGGUGAGUCCCCAAGCUACUUGACCGGUGAAUUCCCUGGUGACUACGGGUGGGAUACUGCUGGACUUUCAGCAGACCCUGAAACCUUUGCCAAGAACCGUGAACUCGAGGUGAUCCACUGCAGAUGGGCUAUGCUUGGUGCUCUCGGAUGUGUCUUUCCUGAGCUCUUGGCCCGUAACGGUGUCAAUUUUGGUGAAGCUGUGUGGUUCAAGGCUGGAUCACAAAUCUUCAGCGAGGGUGGACUUGACUACUUGGGCAACCCAAGUUUGGUCCAUGCACAAAGUAUCUUGGCCAUCUGGGCUUGUCAAGUUGUGUUGAUGGGAGCCGUUGAAGGUUACCGCAUUGCUGGUGGGCCUCUUGGUGAGGUUGUCGACCCACUCUACCCCGGUGGCAGUUUUGACCCAUUAGGUCUUGCUGAUGAUCCAGAGGCAUUUGUUGAGCUCAAAGUUAAGGAGAUUAAGAACGGCAGACUUGCUAUGUUCUCUAUGUUUGGAUUCUUUGUUCAGGCCAUUGUUACCGGAAAAGGUCCAUUGGAGAACCUCGCUGACCACCUUGCAGAUCCAGUCAACAACAAUGCCUGGGCCUACGCCACAAACUUUGUUCCCGGAAAAUGAAUAUCAGCAAACAUUCCAUAAAUUUCAUUGUUUGAUAUAUAGCCUUUUAAAGUUGUAAUUAUGAGUUUUCUUGACAACAGAAUGGAUUUUCUAAUAUCCCAAUUAUUGUGUAGUCCUGAAUUUAAUUUUCCAAUGCUAUAAAUGAAAUACUGCCAGUUUCAUAUCAAAGGGGAAAAAAAGUAGGCAGUCCAAAAACAAAACACAAGAUACAUUAGGGAUGUGGUAAAAGCUUAAAAGUUGAAUACUGACUAGAGGAACUUAUAAUACUCUAACUUAGUGCCAACAAUAACUUACACGAUUACUUAUUUUUCUCUCUGGGAAUUGAGAUGAAUUAAGAGGACAUAAUAUUAUUUCACUACUACACCAUUGACAUUUCAAUGAUGACGGAAAACCAAUGUGUAUGUUCUGUAAUCUAAAUGUAACAAGUAAAAGCAUCUGCGUGGCUGCUUAUAUUAUAGAGGCAGGUAUCCUCCAAACAUGGCAUAUAGUAACGACCAGAGCCAAAUAUAAGGACAUAGUAAGCAGAACUAAGUUAUAUAUAACACUUCUUUGAAAGGAAAUUAAGUUCUAUGCAUUGACAUUGUAAAAAUACUAAUACUCAUAUCACUUAUUAGCAGGGGUAGCUAGCCUUCAUCAUACCGGUUUUCUAGAAGCAAUUAAGUAGCUUUGGUCCAAACCAUAUAUAUGUCUAUUUACUGGUACUUAAUCCCAUGAACCAAUGUUUAUGUUGUUGUUUGUUGUUACUAGUACUUAAGGUCGUCAUCCUAGAUUCUAGAGCGCAUAAUGUUCAAAUCUGUAGGUCCAAGUCUCAGCAUUGCUUGCCAUGUAGUAGUUCAAAUUCACGUACUAAACCGUCGUUGAACCUCUAAAAAUUAAAUUAACAUUGCAACAUAUAUAGAACCUUCAAUGACUAUAUAUACCUCUUCAUGACCAUAAGAUUGUAAAAAAGUCCAUGCAUCGACCUUAGUUAAGAAAACAUUUUUUGAAAAGAAGUAUGACAUUCUACAUUGCCUGAAUUUGUAAAAUCCAAAACCAGUAUUUCACUUUUAUUGGAACUCAAAUAACUACGAUAUUGACUCUUGUGCUUAUGCUUCAUACUAGUUUUGAGCACGUGCGUUGCACGUGUAUUCGAUGCUAAUAGUUUAAACUUCUUAAAACAUUAGAAAUAACACCAAAACUGAAAGUGAAGGAUACAUGCUCAAUUGAUGAAUAGUUAAAUCGAUAUUCACUAUCAUCACAAAGUACAUCACACCAAAAGUUAAUAUCAAAUGAAGUUGAAAUGAUCCCCUUAGUUUUAAGAAAGAAAGAAAGUUCCUUCAGCAUUGUAUUCUAUUACUUUGAUAACUACUACUAUAGUUAGCAGUUGUAUACAGUCAACAAAUUGUAUAACGUUUUCUUGUAUAGUGCUUUUACUCUACCAAAUAUUCGGCCUAAAUGAUAUUUCAACGACAAAUAGUGUGGAUAUGAGCAACACCACUAAUGGUUACAAAUACUUCAGGCCUAUCAAGUAGCUAUUGUCAGAUGAAAGUAGUGUUUGUUGAAGUGUAUCAACUUAAGAGCUAAAAUAACUACAAAGGUUUGUUUCUAACUAGAUGUACCCAAACCCAAACAACUAUAUCAAGUUAGUUAACAAGAAAUUAGCACAUAUCCAAAACACACAAGCAAGUUAAAACAAAUAAAUGCUAAAUAGUAAUAAGUAAAAGCGACCCUCCAAAUGAAUUUUGCUUGCUAUUUGCAUAGUCUAGGAUAUCGACUUCAUGUGCGGGUAUGAUGAUGUUGAGUCCAUGAGACUCUAAAUUUGCGAGAGUCCUUAAUCGGGACUCCAUUUUUUGCUCCAAAAGUUCAUGCAAGUAGAAAGAGGGUAAAAAGAUUAGUAAGACUAUUCAACUUUAAACAAUAUACUAAAUAAGAAUAGAUAGAGCUAAGUAAGGUUACACUUCAAAUACAUUAUUUUUAACACGUAAAUAAGCAUGAGAGCCAAACAAUAUGAUCACUUUUGUAAUUAGUGACUUUCGAACACAACAUCAAAGCAACUAUAUAUUUUAAACAUCAUUUAAGCACUAUAUAAAAUCAAACAAGAUUUAUUUUUUUACAGAUGCCACUGCUUACAAUUUUUGAAGAAAACACGUAACAUAAUCUAAGAGGAAUUCAAAAAAUCAUAUUUAUGAAUAUAGAAUAUAGAGGGUUGCAAAUAUUAAGGAAUAAUAAUGACUUACAGUUUAUUUUUUUUAAACUAAAAUAAAGUAAAAUUAUAUCCCUUAAGCAAUGUUUCUGCAUAUAAUCCAAUGAGCUGAAUUUUCUUAACACACCAAAAGAUAAUUAAUUUAAAAAAAAAAGAUUUCGUGCAGCUGACUCAUCCCAAUCACUUUUAAAGGUUAAGCUAACUAGACGUGAAAGGAGAGCAUCAGUUUUCUAAUAACUAACUAAGAGAAAUUGAUUGAUAUACGACAUUCUUAAAAUAGAAGAGCACAUUAUAAAUUAUGUAGAUAGAAACAGAGAAAACAUGGGAGGCGAGUAUAACCUGUUGCGGGGCAGUGAACGAGGUGCUUCAAUCGAAGGUAAUCUCAAACCACGACUAACUCGAGCAAACUUACAACCAGAGAUUUGGCUGAGAUCGCAACAGAAUACAAAAGGUAAUUUUGAGAGCAAAAGACAAUAGUUCAAGACGCUAUCGGGGCAGAAGAGCUUCUUUUCAUAAGAAUGAAUAUCAAGGCUAUUAUCAAGAUCCAAAAAGUCCCCCUAAAACGAGUGGAAUAUGUUGGUAUUUAUAGCCAUGAACUAGGGUUCUUGGCUCAAGUUUGGGCGGGAUUUGAAGAAGUAAAAGUGCCGUUUUGAAUUCAAAAUUGUGCAUGUGAUUCUUCAUCAGAGAUGUCAAAAGUAUUUUGGCUUUUUGUUGACUAAAUUAAAGAAGAAAGAGUGAAUCAGGAAGGGGAAGAGGGCGCUGGCUUUUUGCAGAAGAGAGAGGUGAAACACUUGCACGAAAAUGGAGACACUAAGCUCUGCAUAAUGUUAAAGAUCUCUGAAAUUUUCUCAAAGAGGAAGAACGAUGCUGCUCUUUUGGACCAGGCGCAGCUGCAUGUACGAAUUAGAAUUAGGGCUCACGUUUGGGCUGAAUAUUUGAGUGGAUUUUGGGCUGUGCUUCUUUUAGUUUUAAAUCGGUAGUAAUUACAAUGGCAGCAUUGUCUUUUCAUAUGAUGAUAAUAUCGGGGAAAUGAUCAAAAUGGUCCUUAAUGUAUGGACUUUGAUUCCAUUUGGUCCUUAAUAUAUGAACUUCAUGGAAAUGGUCCUUUAUGUAUCAUAAAUUGUGAUCAAUUUGGUCCUUAACCCUAAAAUUAAUAUAUUUUAUUUUUUUUGCCAUCAAAAUACACGGAAUAUGUAAAAGAUGCGCUCGUUCAAGACUUUCCUUCCCCUGUUUCCAAAAAUUCCAAAAGGGCACAUACAAUUUUUUUUUUCUCUUUUCUUUAAAAUCGCUGCUGUGAUUUUAUUUUUUUUAACAACGCUGUCAAGCAGCGUUUAAAAAUUAGAAAUAGCUGCUAUAGUAGCCAUUUUCUUAAAAAAGUUAAAAUUUUAUUUUAUUAAAAAUUCCCGAGGCGAGGACUGCUUAAAAAAUAAUGGGAAAUCGCUCCACGUGUAGCGAUUUUAGUUNNNNNNNNNNNNNNNNNNNNNNNNNNNNNNNNNNNNNNNNNNNNNNNNNNNNNNNNNNNNNNNNNNNNNNNNNNNNNNNNNNGCGAUUUCAGUAGAAAAAGUUUCCCAAUUGAGUUACUUUAUAAUUUUUUAUUGUAUACUUUUUGAUUGCUAGCAGCAAUUGGAAAAAAAUAAUAAAAAUUCUUACUGAAAUCGCUGCCUUGGCUGCGAUUAUUUUUUAAAAAAAAUUAACUAAAAUCGCUACACGUGGAGCGAUUUCCCAUUAUUUUUUAAAGUAGUCCUCGCCUUGGGAAUUUUUAAUAAAAAAAAAAUUUAAACUUUUUUAAGAAAAUGACUGCUAUAGCAGCUAUUUCUAUUUUUUAAACGCUGCUGGGGCAACGUUGUUAAAAAAAAAAAUCACAGCAGCGAUUUUAAAGAAAAAAGAAAAAAAAAUUGGACCUGCAGCGAUUUUUAUGUUUUUUAAAGGAGUAACGGCGUCAAUUUUGUCAGAACAAAAUCGCUUCGUCAGGAGCGAUUUUGCCCUUUUGGUUAAAAAAAAUUGAUAUGCCCUUUUGAAAUUUUUGGAAACAGGGGAAGAAAAGUCUUGAACGAGCACCUCUUUUACAUGUUCCGUGUAUUUUGACGGCAAAAAAUAAUAAUAUUAAUUUUAGGGUUAAGGACCAAAUUGAUCACAAUUUAUGAUACAUAAAGGACCAUUUCCAUCAAGUUCAUAUAUUAAGGACCAAAUGGAAUCAAACCCAUACAUUAAGGACCAUUUUGAUCAUUUUCUCUGAUAAUAUCAUUAGUAUUAAUUAGUGUACUACGGUCAGUUUAUUGUUUAAUAAUUUAAUAUUUAAUUAAUUAUACAUUUUAUGAAGAGAUUUUUGGAUUAUUAUUAUUAUUAUUAUUAAUUUAUUAUUAUAUUCAUAUAGACUAUAGAUGAUAAAUAUGUAUUAAAAUAAAUAUUUUAUAAUAUUUUAAUUUAUAAUAGGGGUAAAAUCGUAAUUCAACUUUUUAACUUUUUUUGUUCCCACUUAUAGUAAUACUAGUUCUCGAACACGUACGUUGCACGUGUAUUUCACGCUAAGUAAUUUUUUUUUAAAAAUAUUAGAUUAAAUGUGCAAUGAGUUAUAUGAAUUUUGAAAGGGAAGAUUACCUUUUUCUCUGAUUUAAACUUCUAAGUCAUUUCAUCUUUGAAUUUUAACAUAAAUAAUUAGUAAAAAUUGUAUAUAUAUAAUAUCAAAUGUAACAUGACAAGCUAUUUAAAAAUCAAUGUGUUUCAUGCAUUACAACACCGCAUUAGACAAAUAACUUCAAAUUUUGGAUUAAACCUCUAAAGUAUAUAAUCUCAUACAUAACACUUUUUUUCUAUAGUAAUCCAUGCAAUUACAUAAUAAAGUGUAACACAAAUUAAAGAUUAACAACAUAAAGACACAAUAAUUUUAACUAAUUAAUCAACAUCACCUGGGAGGUAAACUACCACGAAAUGGUUCUUUGACAAGAACUGCUUCACUUAUUGCUGCCUCAAAUCUGCAAUCGGCUAGAAGAAUCUCUAGCUUUCAAUUAUAUGAUAUAAUUUGAAUAACAAUACAGUUACCUAAAUUACUGUGCAAAUCAAUGGGAACUGCAUCCUAUACUUUUUCUAAAAAUGUUAUGUGUAUUAUAUAAAACUUAAUAGAGUACAUGAAAAGUUUUCUAAUGGAUGAAAAUUAAAAGAAUUAACAAAUUUAAAAUUAAUGGGAUAAGUGCAUAUAAUUAUAUAGUAAAAGAUAAACUACACUAAGGGCUAGACAGAUUCAUUAACUUCACAUUAAUGUUUCACAAUUUAUUGAUUUAUUAUUAAAAGGUAAAUGUAUUAUUUGAUUGAUAGUAUAAAAAUAUUCUGAAAAAGAAGUGUGUAGAUAGGGGUACAAAAUAUCCCAUAAGAAGGUGACUUAAAUGUAUAUAUUCAUGAAAUAGUGGCAAAACGAACCAACAAAAUAAUUUGUUAAUAAUUUAAAUUUAAUUAUUCUAUAUUAUUUUGUCCUUUUAUUAGAUCUUUUCUGUAUGCGCAUUCCUUGAACUUUUUUAUUCAUAUAUUUAUUUUUCCUAGUUAAUAAUUAGUCUACAUUUAAUUACUCAAUGCAACUCUUCCAAUUCUUCUAUUUAUUUAGCAACGAAGAGGCUUAUUGCGUAAAUUCAAAAGGGUCAUUUUGAUUUGAUUCAAUGCAUGUUAAAGUAGAAUACCGAGACAUUAAAUUGGUAUACAAAAUUGAAAAAUAAGUUAAGGAAGUUGAAACGAAACCAAAAUAUUGAAUAGAGGAUAAUUUUAGGAAGAUGAAAAAGCUAGCAAUUCCAAGACAUUGAAUAUAGGCUGCUGUAAUUGUGUGAUAAUUAAAAUAUUUACUCCUAUUUAAUUUAGAGUAGAUAUUUUAUUUAUUACAUUAGGGUGCAGUAAUUGUGUAACAAUUUUAAAUAUUGCUACUAAUUAGAUUAGAUAUUUUUUAUUUAGUAAAAGGGUAAAAGAGUAAUUCAACUUUGAAAAUUGAGCCUCCCACUUAUAAUAAUAUAUGAUGAUAUGAUGAUAUGAUUAUAAGGGAAAAGCAUAAACCAAGAUAAAUUGUGUGGCUAACUUUAGUGACUUUAUUAAAAUCCAAUAGUAAAUUAGUUUCAAUAGCUUGGCUUUACAUGCAAUAUUAAUUUCCCACACAAUUGAAUGAGCUAUAGUGGUGGUAAUACCAGCUUUAGAUAGAAUCUGGUGAAAUUCCCAAUGGAUAAUGAUAAGAGAUAUCACAUUGUACGCUCAACAAAUCGAAAUAAUAGAGUUCAAGACCACAUAUGAGAGAAGAACAUUGGUUGGGUCCCUUUAGCAAACAUCUUAGAAAAUGAUUGCCAAGUGUGUAUUAAUUGCUACACAUGGGAUCUUGAUACCCAAUGAAAUCAUAAAUAUAGAUAUCACUAGAUAAGGACUCUUUCCCUAUAUAUGGUGAAUUAAUUCCCUUGUAAAUUCAUCUCAUAACAGCCAACUUCAACAAUAUUUCAAUUUUCAUACCAUCAAACAAUUACUUUGUUCUCUUGAUAUAAGCACCAUGGCAGCUUCUACAAUGGCUCUCUCUUCCCCUUCUUUUGCUGGGCAGGCAGUGAAACUCUCACCAUCUGCCUCAGAAAUCUCUGGAAAUGGAAGGAUCUCUAUGAGAAAGGCCGUCGCCAAGUCUACCUCAUCUAGCAGCCCAUGGUAUGGCCCUGACCGUGUUAAGUACUUGGGACCAUUCUCUGGUGAGUCCCCAAGUUACUUGACCGGUGAAUUCCCUGGUGACUACGGAUGGGAUACCGCUGGACUUUCAGCAGACCCUGAAACUUUUGCCAAGAACCGUGAACUUGAGGUGAUCCACUGUAGAUGGGCUAUGCUUGGUGCUCUUGGAUGUGUCUUCCCUGAGCUCUUGGCCCGUAACGGUGUCAAGUUUGGUGAGGCUGUGUGGUUCAAGGCUGGAUCUCAGAUCUUCAGUGAAGGUGGACUUGACUACUUGGGUAACCCAAGCUUGGUCCAUGCACAGAGCAUCUUGGCCAUCUGGGCUUGCCAAGUUGUGUUAAUGGGAGCUGUUGAGGGAUACCGUAUUGCAGGUGGACCUCUUGGUGAGGUCGUCGACCCACUCUACCCUGGUGGCAGUUUUGACCCAUUAGGUCUUGCUGAUGAUCCAGAAGCAUUUGCUGAGCUCAAAGUAAAGGAGAUUAAGAAUGGUAGACUUGCUAUGUUCUCUAUGUUUGGAUUUUUUGUUCAAGCCAUUGUUACUGGAAAGGGACCAUUAGAGAACCUUGCUGAUCACCUUGCAGACCCAGUCAACAACAACGCAUGGUCCUACGCCACAAACUUUGUCCCCGGAAAAUAAAAAUAUUAAAACAUUCUCUAGUUUCUGGUCGUUUGAUGACCGUGUAAAGAUGUAGUGUGCUACCUGACAAUAUAAUGAAAUUUUGUU